rnacentral:misc_RNA from 1 species
UCCAUGGAAGAACACAUCAAACAGAAAAUAAGAAGACAAAGCAAAGCUUUACAAACAUCACCAACAAAAAUAAACCAGAAUCUGACGCACCAGUGAGAUAGGCUUUGCCAGAAAAACCCCGAUUAUCAAUUUACAACAUACUAUCUGUCCUAGCUGGCAGACGACGGAAGAAGUUAAUCGGUGCUGAUGGCGUCCUAUGCCGGAACCUGGGAUGCCUCAUAGAGUAAAACCCAGCGACAAGAGCAAGCACCUGAAAAGGUGUUGCGUACAAGACAAUGGCAGCCACUAGACAGAAUGUCACAAAUAUGGUUGUGGCACGAGGAUCCCGCCAACUUAAUAGUGAUUGAAUUCUCUCCCCUUGGGUAACCACAUCACCCACCACAGUUUGGAUCCUCCCAGCCACACUCCUCAGCCGAUCAUACCUCAUUCGGACUAUCUCUGGGCUCCGAGUUGUUGGAAAUGUAUCAAACUCCUCAUCAAGCUCAUCAGGGUGUACGGCAUCAGCACAAGAAAUUCUUGUAUUCAUGUGUGGAGGGUAUCUUGGUCGGAUACGAUAAUUCCAAAGCCCUAUUAGAAACAUGUAGAGAAACACUGUUGGCAGAAUCAGUUCUGGAAAACACACAAGCAUCACAAACAGGAGGUGUACUAGAACCGUAGUGAUUGGACUUUUCCACAUGCAAACUUCACCGAACCAUUUUCCAACAGCAAAUAAUCCAGAGAAAACAGACAUCAGUCUGAAGAAGUUUGCCUUGCUCCUCCUCAUGCUCCAGAGAUGAGAGUUUGCAUCAGACAUGUAUUCAACAACUUCUUUCUUAAGAGGAGGUUCUGCUCGACUAAGCCGUGCUGCCACUAUGUUGACAGCUUGGUGCCGCAACAUGUCCUGCUGCAAAACAGUCAAUGGCCUUACAUAAUGCAUCUUUGGCAAAAGGGGCCGUGUGUACAAAAAUAUCAUGUUUGCCAUUGAUGUGUAUGAAAAUCGUAUUGCCAGAUGUAAUUCACCCAUCUUCUUGACACCAGAAGGAUGAAGCACUAGUAGUGGAUAAGAGUGUGUAUAUACGCGGCCAGUUUCAAGAGUAGAGAGUCGUAUCCGAACCUUACCAAUUUUUAUAUCCCUAUCACCAUUUGAACCACCUAUAUGGCUGUUGUCAAAAACUCCCACAGUAAGAACUGUUGCAGGAUCAUACACCUCCCAAGUGUAUUGUUCAUUGUAUUUUGGGCUGAGGCUGUUGAUUAUGGUUCGAGUCCUGAUCCACUUAUGACCAUACUUAGCUACACAAUAUGUAUCUGUUGUACCUUUUCCAUCCCUUGUUUUCAUUGGGUGAAGUCCGUCAGCAUUUAGAACACCAAGCUCCAGCACACCUAUUGAUGGCUUCCACAACUGCUUCGCUGUCGGUCGUAGAUCACUACUGUAGUGAGUUGACUCAUCAAGCACAUGGUACCCUCCAUCAAGUACAACACGAAGAUGGAGUCUGCUAGAGAACUUAUCUUUCUUAGCCUGAUGCUCAUCCAUGGCAGACGAAAUGGACUUUUCCAGGUUGAACCACCGGCUAUGAAUAAUUCGAUCAUCAGCACGCUUCUCAACAGAGUUUAAUGGUAUAACAACCUUGC